GGGGUGCUCGAGUGGCGAACGGGUGAGUAACACGUGAGUAACCUGCCCUUGACUUUGGGAUAACUUCAGGAAGCUGGGGCUAAUACCGGAUAGGAGCUCCUGCUGCAUGGUGGGGGUUGGAAAGUUUCGGCGGUUGGGGAUGGACUCGCGGCUUAUCAGCUUGUUGGUGGGGUAGUGGCUUACCAAGGCUUUGACGGGUAGCCGGCCUGAGAGGGUGACCGGCCACAUUGGGACUGAGAUACGGCCCAG
rnacentral:rRNA from 1 species